GAAGUGAAUGCAUUCGUGUUGUUUUGCGCAAAUGUACCCAAAUGUACCCAAAAAAAAACAAAGAAAAAUGUUAUGCAAUAUAUCAGAUAAUUUAAAUACUACGUGCUAUAAGCUACAAUUAAAAUCUAGCAGACUAGUCGGAGUAAACAAUUUGGAGGAUGAUGGCUACCGUGCUUGGAAUUGGAAGGUUCAGUGCUUCUAGGUCUUGAACAGUUUUACUGUGGACGAUUGGCAUAUGUUUUAAUUUCAUUUUGAGCUUUUUUUUCACUUCUUGGUUAUUCAGACUUUUCUCCCACGAUGGUUGCCUUGACGUUUGUUGGGCAUUCUCAAGAUUCAAAGAUUCCGGCCAAUGCCAUGUUCAUUGCCGUCACGUGGCUUCUGACUCCUUGUCCAUCUUGAAUCGCGGCAUUGCUGGUCCAUUGCUACCCUUUCGAACCUUUGAUGGAAAAUUAUCGAAAACAUUAGGAAACUCACAAUA